UGGCUCAGAGUGAACGCGGGCGGCGUGCUUAAGACAUGCAAGUCGUACGAGAAAGUCCGCAAGGAUGAGUACAGUGGCGUCCGGGUGAGUAAUACUUAGAUAACGUACCUUAUCGCUGAGAAUAACUAGGCGAAAGCUUAGCUAAUACUGAAUGAACCGUAGAGGACUGAGGUCUUUUACGGUAAAGCCGCAAGGCGCGAUAAGAGCGGUUUAAGUCCUAUCAGCUAGUUGGUGAGGUAAUGGCUUACCAAGGCUAUGACGGGUAGCUGGUCUGAGAGGACGACCAGCCACACUGGAACUGAAACACGGUCCAGACUCCUACGGGAGGCAGCAGUUAGGAAUUUUGCGCAAUGGACGAAAGUCUGACGCAGCAACGCCGCGUGAGUGAUGAAGGCCUUCGGGUCGUAAAACUCUUUUAGUUGGAACGAAAUUAAUGACGGUACCAGCAGAAAAAGCACCGGCUAACCCUGUGCCAGCAGCCGCGGUAAUACAGGGGGUGCAAGCGUUACUCGGAUUUACUGGGCGUAAAGAGCGUGUAGGCGGUUUGUUAAGUCGGGUGUGAAAUCCCUGGGCCCAAUCCAGGAAGUGCAUUCGAUACUGGCAGACUAGAGUGUAGGAGGGGUGAGCGGAAUUCCCGGUGUAGAGGUGAAAUUCGUAGAUAUCGGGAGGAACAACAGAGGCGAAGGCGGCUCACUGGACUAUUACUGACGCUAAGGCGCGAAAGCGUGGGGAGCAAACAGGAUUAGAUACCCUGGUAGUCCACGCCGUAAACUAUGGGUACUAGCUGUCGGGCGGUCUUACCCGCUCGGUGGCGUCGCAAACGCAUUGAGUACCCCGCCUGGGAAGUACGGUCGCAAGAUUAAAACUCAAAG
rnacentral:rRNA from 1 species